UCAAAUAUUGCAGUUUAACUAAAAGGGAAAAGUUGUAUCGCUAUAUGUUCUAUUCUAUCAUAAGCGUAUAGCUUUUCCCCUUGGUUUUACUCGCUCUAACAA
rnacentral:pre_miRNA from 12 species